GGCGUCCCCCUUCCCCGAAUUCCCUCGACGCCCCUCUGCCGUCCAUUCUUCCGUGGCCGCUCGCCCGCCCCCGCCCCGCUCCUCACGACUCGUUCGAUCCGCCGCCGCCGCCCGUCCUUCAUCGCCAUACCGCGCCGCCGCCGUCCCCCGUCCUCUCCGCGCCCGGCGGCCGGCGAGGCUGGGGCGCAGGCUCGGGCGAGCAUCGCGGAUGCGGGUUGGUGCUCGCGCCGCCUCCACUGCCGCCAUCCUCGAGUACCUCGCCCCCAGGUAAUCUCCUGAUCCCCUUUCUCCUCCGGUCCUCCCCUUUUCCGAUCCUAUCGCGUGAAUCGACGAGGGUUGCGUGCUCCGGACUCGGCAUGGGCGUGGAGAUCCUGGUGGCAGUCACUGUGGAGGGCUUCAUCCAGGCGCGAUGCGGAGGAGCCGACGGGCUCCGGCGUCGUCUUAUGUGAUCCAUCCCGCCGGCGGCUAGAGCCACCAAGACCGAACAGCCGGCCGAUGUGGACCGCCGCGCUGGUCCCCUGGCGCCGCAUCCACCGUCCCCCGGGCUGUUCCUUCCUCUUGUCCCCGGGCGUCUCCAUCCCUGUCGUCGACCUCUCCCUCCCCGCGCCCGUCGCCGCCGCCACCGCCACCGCCGAAGCCGCCCGCAGCUGGGGCUUCUUCCACCUCGUCAGCCACCACCAGGCCCUCGCCGUCCCAGAGGACUACCCCGCGCAGGCGCUCGCCGCCGUGGGCGCCUUCAAGGAGCUCCCGGCCGCCGAGCGCUCCGCGCACUACGGCCACUCCAUGGCCGGCGGGAUCCCGUACUUCUCCGACGUCGAUCUGUUCCGGACCUCCGCCGUGAGCUAGCGCGACACCGUUCGGGCCCCAGCGGCUUGACCCAGCGCGCAUCCCGGCCGUGGGGAUGUUGAAGCAGGUUUUAAAUGCUGAAGAAGAAAUCCAAAGGCGUAGCAUGCAGGCCUCAUUGCGCGUUGCCAUGCAUCAGCCAUCAAAAAACGCAAAAGAUGGAAGUUUUGUUUCCAAGCUGAGCCCAGAAUGACUGUUGAUGUCAAUUUCGGUGAUCUUACUGGCGACUCAGAUGCUGGUUCCAACCAGGGCACUCCUGGGCAACCCUUGCAUCACUUCCACAGCAUUUCUCCUUCAACAGCCUCUUUUGUUAGGUCGCCUUUUGGUUCUCUACAGUGGUUCAGGUGACAUGGCAGCAGGUUUUUCCUCAAGCUCCUCGAGUGGGACGCGCACGCCACUGCCGAAGGUUGCGCCCUUCUGGGGCUCCUCUCCGAGGGGCUUAGGCUCGGGUCGACGAGGCUGGAGGCGGCUUCCUGCCUCGAGGGUAGGGUCAUGGUCUGCCACUACUACCUGGUGUGCCCCGAGCCCAAGCGCACCGUGGGUGUCGUCUCGCACAUAGACCCCGGCAGGCUCACCCUCCUCGCGCAGGAUAGCUUGCAUAAAAGAGGGAUGGCAGCGGGUCGGGCAAGCACCGGGUAAGCCAUUUGCUCGCCCGACAGCAUGCUCGACAACCUGCAGUUUGCCCGUGCCCGCUAAGCAUCUCGGACAAACUUGUUUGCCCAUGCCCGUGCCCAUUGGGCACCCGUCGGGCAUCAGGUAGCUCGCGAGGACAAAGGAGAAGGCUGGAGGCGUCACGGUGAAGGAGGUGACCGGGUGAGGCAGCGAGGUGACCGGUUUCAACGGUGAGGCUGACCGCGGUGAGUGGCGGCGCCGGCAGGCGGCAGCUCAGGCUUGACGCAGGUAGUAGCGAGGCCGGCUGAGGAGGCAAGGCGCCAACCGCAUGGAGUGGCGGCGUCGGCAGCUCGGGCCCGAGGCAGUCAGGGGCUAGGCCGGCCGAGGGGGCGAGACACCGGCUGUGGGGAGCGUCGGCGUCGACAGUUCGGGUCCGAGGCAGCUAGCGGCAAGGGUCGGCCGAGGGGCGAGGCGCAGUGGAUGGAACCGGAGGGGUCGGGGCAGCACCGCUGGCGGCUGCCACCUGCGGGAGGAAACUAAGGGAGGGAUAGUGGGCGGUGAGGUGGAUAAGGUCUGUGCAACUGGGACAUGAGUUGGGGUGCGUAGGGUUUGUUUGGGCUUGGGCCAAAUCUAGGAUGUUGGACUUUGGUAAGUUGUAAUUAAAUGGAUUCCUAGUAUUGCGGGUAACCCGAUAGGUACCUGUGGGCGAGAUUCCAAGCCCGCGUUCUGCCCAUGGGCAAGAAUUGAUGCCUAUACCCUUACCCGCGGGUUAGAAUUCGUGCCCACAUGAAAGUGCAUUUGGCCCCCUAAGUGGGUUUUGGUGUUGAUGACUCGCAUAGUUAGGGGACUAAUUCGUGUAUCAAGUGAUUAACAUGUUCUAAUUCUAAAGUGCAAAGGUGUAUGAAAGGAAUUGCAAAAACCCCUAAGUUCAAAGAAAGAACAGCAUUGAGCUCGAAAGAAGACUCGUUUAUAAUUUCUAAUUUUGGAUUUGAGUUUAGGAACGCCAUACUAUAAAGGGGGAUGCGGAUGGAUAUCUUGAAGAUGCUAAUUGUGCUCAUUUGAGAUGCUAACCACUCAUUGAGAGACACGGUUCACACACUUACACAUCCUUUAUCUCAGGUUUUCUGUGUGUGUCGGAAGUUCUGAUGGAGUGUUGGAAGUUCCGACACCUAUCGGAAGUAUCCAGUAACUCCCGGCAGGGGCUCUUUGUACGUUUAACCUGAGAGUAUCGGAAGUUCCGAUACACUAUCGGAAGUUCCGGUAAGUGUUGGGUGUUUCUUGAAACUCCCGACAGGAGUCCUCUGCAUGUUUGUUCUAACUUCAUCGGAAGUAUCGACCCUGUGGCGGAAGUUCCGACAGAUACAUAAAACGCACAGUAACAACUAGUUUUUGGGGCUCGGGUAUAAAUACCCCCUCAGUCCCCCAUUCAUUGCUACUGACCUAACUCGAGCCAAAACACCUCUAGAGCUUUGAAUACUCCCUUUCCUUACUUCUUUGAGCUAAAUCCUUGAGUUCUUGAGCUAGGGUUUGGGUUGAGAGCAAGAUUGAGGGUGUUUGACUUGAGGUUUUGAGUGAGAAGUUCAACAAGUCCAUCUCAAGAGCACCUCAAGCAUCUUUGCCUUCGAUUCGCAUUUGUUACUCUUGAAGCCAUCUUUUAGACGGCUACGCGUCGCCCGUUUGAGCGCCCUCUUCGUGUGGUGCGUCCGGGAACGUUUGUAUUACCCAUCCUUCGUGGAUUCAUAGUAAGUGACUCAAUCCUCCUUUGUGGUUGAUUGAGGGAGGUAAAGGGAUAGUGAGGACCCGACUCUUUGUGAGCUCCUCAACGGAGACGUAGCUUUCUUUGUGAGAGUGAACUCCGGU